rnacentral:rRNA from 1 species
GUAGUAGUGGGUGUAGCGUACCUACUAGCCUACGACGGGUACAGGUUGUGAGAGCAAGAGCCCGGAGAUGGAUUCUGAGACACGAAUCCAGGCCCUACGGGGUGCAGCAGGCGCGAAAACUUUACAAUGCUGGCAACAGCGAUAAGGGAACCUCGAGUGCCAGGUUACAAAUCUGGCUGUCGAGAUGCCUAAAAAGCAUUUCAUAGCAAGGGCCGGGCAAGACCGGUGCCAGCCGCCGCGGUAACACCGGCGGCUCGAGUGGUAACCGUUAUUAUUGGGUCUAAAGGGUCUGUAGCCGGCCGGAUAAGUCUCUUGAGAAAUCUGGCAGCUUAACUGUCAGGCUUUCAGGAGAUACUGUCUGGCUCGAGGCCGGGAGAGGUGAGAGGUACUUCAGGGGUAGGGGUGAAAUCUUGUAAUCCUUGAAGGACCACCAGUGGCGAAGGCGUCUCACCAGAACGGACCUGACGGCAAGGGACGAAAGCUAGGGGCACGAACCGGAUUAGAUACCCGGGUAGUCCUAGCCGUAAACGAUACUCGCUAGGUGUCGGCCACGGUGCGACCGUUGUCGGUGCCGUAGGGAAGCCGUGAAGCGAGC